rnacentral:tRNA from 1 species
GCGGGAGUGGCGGAAUUGGCAGACGCCCCGGUUUUAGGUACCGGUGCCUUCGGGCGUGGGGGUUCGAGUCCCCCCUUCCGCA